rnacentral:rRNA from 1 species
GACGACCGCUGGCGGCGUGCUUAACUCAUGCAAGUCGAACGGAAAGGCCCUGCUCUUGUGGGGUGUUCGAGUGGCGAACGGGUGAGCAACACGUGAGUAACCUGCCCUUGACUUUGGGAUAACUUCAGGAACCUCGGGCUAAUACCGGAUAGGAGCUCCUGCUGCAUGGUGGGGGUUGCAAAGUUUCGGCGGUUGGGGAUGGACUCGCGGCUUAUCAGAUUGUUGGUGGGGUAGUGGCUUACCAAGGCUUUGACGGGUAGCCGGCCUUAGAGGUUGACAGGCCACAUCAACAAUGGGAUACGGCCCAUACUCCUAACGGUGGAAGGAGUCGGCAAGAUAGCAGGAUGGGCGGAAGUCUGCAGCAGCAACGCCGCGUGCGGGAUGACGGCCUGCGGGUUGAGAACCGGUUAUGGCGGUAGCGAGGCGUGUGUGAGGGGAAAGAGUAGAGGGGCAAGGGCUAGCUACAUG